AAGUCGUAACAAGGUUUCCGUAGGUGAACCUGCGGAAGGAUCAUUAUCGAGUUUAUUGAACAGGUUGUCGCUGACUCUUUAUUGAGUAUGUGCACGCUUGGCUCAUCCACUCUUUUACCACUGUGCACUUUAUGUAAGAAAAAAAAGAAGAGAUAUUGGUGGAAGCAAGGGUUGUAAGACUCAUGUGAAAAUCGGUUCUUUUUUCUUUUCUUUUCUUAUGUCUUUACAAACCAUACAAGUUAUAGAAUGUCAUUAGUUGUGUAUAACACAAAUAAAUACAACUUUCAGCAACGGAUCUCUUGGCUCUC
rnacentral:misc_RNA from 1 species